AUUGAACGCUGGCGGCAGGCCUAACACAUGCAAGUCGAGCGGAUGAAGGGAGCUUGCUCCUGGAUUCAGCGGCGGACGGGUGAGUAAUGCCUAGGAAUCUGCCUGGUAGUGGGGGAUAACGUCCGGAAACGGGCGCUAAUACCGCAUACGUCCUGAGGGAGAAAGUGGGGGAUCUUCGGACCUCACGCUAUCAGAUGAGCCUAGGUCGGAUUAGCUAGUUGGUGGGGUAAAGGCCUACCAAGGCGACGAUCCGUAACUGGUCUGAGAGGCUGAUCAGUCACACUGGAACUUAGACACGGUCCAGACUCCUACGGGAGGCAGCAGUGGGGAAUGUUGGACAAUAGGCGAAAGCCUGAUCCAGCCAUGCCGCGUGUGUGAAGGAGGUCUUCGGAUUGUAAAGCACUUUAAGUUGGGAGGAAGGGCAGUAAGUUAAUACCUUGCUGUUUUGACGUUACCAACAGAAUAAGCACCGGCUAACUUCGUG
rnacentral:rRNA from 1 species